CUGAAGGCAUCUAAGCGUGAAGCCCCCCUCAAGAUGAGAUAUCCCAUUCUUAGGAAGUAAACCCCCUUGAAGACGACGAGGUAGAUAGGGCAGAGGUGGAAGUGCAGCAAUGUAUGGAGCUGACUGCUACUAAUCGGGUGAGGGCUUGACCAA
rnacentral:rRNA from 1 species